rnacentral:tRNA from 1 species
ACUAGGAUGGCAGAAAGGUUAAUUAAUGCGAUGAAUUUAAGUUUCAUUUAUGAAGAUAUCUUCUUUUAGUU